rnacentral:rRNA from 1 species
UCGUGCCGUGAGGUGUUGGGUUAAGUCCCGCAACGAGCGCAACCCCCAUCACUAGUUGCCAUCAGGUAACGCUGGGAACUCUAGUGAAACUGCCGUCGUAAGACGUGAGGAAGGAGGGGAUGAUGUCAAGUCAUCAUGGCCUUUAUGCCUAGGGCUACACACGUGCUACAAUGGAGAGGACAAAGAGCUGCCACUUGGUGACAAGGAGCUAAUCUCAAAAACCUCUUCUCAGUUCAGAUUGGAGUCUGCAACUCGACUCCAUGAAGCUGGAAUCGCUAGUAAUCGUAUAUCAGCAAUGAUACGGUGAAUACGUUCCCGGACCUUGCACACACCGCCCGUCAAGCCAUGAAAGCCGGGUGUACCUAAAGUCGGUAACCGAAAGGAGCCGCCUAGGGUAAAACUGGUAAUUGGGGCUAAGUCGUAACAAGGUAGCCGUAUCGGAAGGUGCGGCUGGAAUACCUCCUUU